rnacentral:rRNA from 1 species
UACAGAGGGUGCGAGCGUUAAUCGGAAUUACUGGGCGUAAAGCGCGCGUAGGCGGCUUUUCAAGUCGAUUGUGAAAUCCCCGGGCUUAACCUGGGAACUGCAGUCGAGACUGUCUAGCUAGAGUAUGGGAGAGGGAAGUGGAAUUUCAGGUGUAGCAGUGAAAUGCGUAGAUAUCUGAAGGAACAUCAGUGGCGAAAGCGACUUCCUGGACCAAUACUGACGCUCAUGUGCGAAAGCGUGGGGAGCAAACAGG